rnacentral:tmRNA from 1 species
CUGUUUAGAAGAAAUCCAAUCAAACUAGCAUAAUACUGGUUGUCUGUUGCUUACUAUUAUGCGAAAUUCAUCAAUAGACUACACACGUAGAAAGGUGUGUAUCAGGACCUCUGGACGCGGGUUCGAAUCCCGCCGUCUCCACUA